rnacentral:snRNA from 1 species
AUCGCUUCUCGGCUUAAUAGCUAAGAUCAAAGUGUAGUAUCUGUUCUUUUCAGCUUAAUAUCUGAAACGCUCCUCAUUGAGGAGCCAGAAUAUUAAACUGUUUUUUGUAACUGGAUAGAUGCCGGGGCUUGCCUUGGCUCUAUCACGGGUUUAUCCGGUAUAGCAGUACCACCGGAGAAAGCCCACAUAAU